GGUUACAUACUAAUUUGCAGCAGAGGGGUAUCUCUAAGUUGUUGAGGUUGGACUAUAAUAUCUUAUGUAUGAAGAGAUUUGAAAAUAAGGUAGCAGAUACUUUAUCAAAAAGGUCUGCAAACCUUCAUUAUUGUGCUAUUCAAUCUAUGGUGGUUCCUGCUUGGAUGUAGCAGUUGGUAGAUAGUUAUGAGGGGGAUCAUAAGGUAGAGAAAUAAUUCAGUAACUUUCUUUGGUUCCUCAUGCUGUUGUUAUCAAUUGAAGAAUGGAGUUUUGUUUUAUAAAGAUAGGCUUUAUGUAGGAAAUUCUACAACUUUGAGAAAUACUCUGCUGCAAACUUAUAAUAAUUCAACUGUGGGAUGUCACUCAGGAGUUAUAUCACUUAUUUGAGGUUGAAGAGGUAUUUCUUUAGGCCUAGCAUGCUUAAAGUGAUGGAAUGGCUAAAGUCUUGUGAUGUGUGCAAAGUGUAAGGGUGAGACAAGUCCUUAUCCAUGGAUGUUGUAGCCUCUUCCUAUUCCUUCACAAGCUUGCCAAGAGAUUUCAAUGGACUUUAUUGAGGGCCUUCCUAAAUCUAGAGGAGAAGAUACCAUUCUGGCAGUAGUUCAAAUUUACAGAAGUGGCACAUUUUAUUUCUCUACCACAUCCUUAUACAGCAGCAUCAAUAGCCCAUGUUUUUAUGGAUACUGUCUUCAAGCUUCAUGGAGUGGCUCAAGUUAAAGUCUUCACUAUCCUUUUUUGGCAAGAAGAGUGUUCAGGGUUAAAAUUGGCUAUGAGUUCAACCUAUCACCCUUAAUCAAAUGCAUAGUUAUUAAAGGCUUAAGGCGCACUAAGGCGCCAAGGGAUCCAUGAGCUUA
rnacentral:misc_RNA from 1 species